rnacentral:rRNA from 1 species
GAUGAACGCUGGCGGCGUGCCUAAUACAUGCAAGUCGAGCGAACAGAUGAGGAGCUUGCUCCUCUGACGAUAGCGGCGGACGGGUGAGUAACACGUGGAUAACCUACCUAUAAGACUGGGAUAACUUCGGGAAACCGGAGCUAAUACCGGAUAAUAUAUUGAACCGCAUGGUUCAAUAGUGAAAGACGGUUUUGCUGUCACUUAUAGAUGGAUCCGCGCCGCAUUAGCUAGUUGGUAAGGUAACGGCUUACCAAGGCAACGAUGCGUAGCCGACCUGAGAGGGUGAUCGGCCACACUGGAACUGAGACACGGUCCAGACUCCUACGGGAGGCAGCAGUAGGGAAUCUUCCGCAAUGGGCGAAAGCCUGACGGAGCAACGCCGCGUGAGUGAUGAAGGUCUUCGGAUCGUAAAACUCUGUUAUUAGGGAAGAACAAAUGUGUAAGUAACUAUGCACGUCUUGACGGUACCUAAUCAGAAAGCCACGGCUAACUACGUG